AUUAGAUGAGCCUAUAUUAGAUUAGCUAGUUGGUGGAGUAAUAGCCUACCAAGGCAAUGAUCUAUAGCUGAUCUGAGAGGAUGAUCAGCCACACUGGAACUGAGAUACGGUCCAGACUCCUACGGGAGGCAGCAGUGGGGAAUAUUGGACAAUGGGCGAAAGCCUGAUCCAGCCAUGCCGCAUGAGUGAAGAAGGCCUUUGGGUUGUAAAGCUCUUUUAGUGAGGAAGAUAAUGACGGUACUCACAGAAGAAGUCCUGGUUAACUCCGUGCCAGCAGCCGCGGUAAUACGGAGAGGGCUAGCGUUAUUCGGAAUUAUUGGGCGUAAAGGGCGCGUAGGCUGAUUAAUAAGUUAAAAGUGAAAUCCCGAGGCUUAACCUUGGAAUUGCUUUUAAAACUAUUAAUCUAGAGAUUGAAAGAGGGUAGAGGAAUUCCUGAUGUAGAGGUAAAAUUCGUAAAUAUUAGGAGGAACACCAGUGGCGAAGGCGUCUAUCUGGUUCAAAUCUGACGCUGAAGCGCGAAGGCGUGGGGAGCAAACAGGAUUAGAUACCCUGGUAGUCCACGCUGUAAACGAUGAAUGUUAAAUAUGGGAAG
rnacentral:rRNA from 1 species